GCGCUGUAAAAUUAAAAUACUACCAUUCCUACAUGUUCUUAUAUGUGGCUUAUUACGGUUUAAAUAGAUACUUUACAUUUUCAGACUAAGUUAGGGAAUGAUUAUAUCAAAAAUUCAACAUAACAUCUCCCAUAAAAAUGGACUAUCCCAAAACCUGUAAAUGAAUCAAUAAGUAGACUUGUAAUUUCUCACAUCUCAAAUAACUCCCAUUCAGGACCUCAUGUCCCUCAUAAUCCAUCAAUUUCCAAUAACCAUCAAUAAAGAAAAUAAAUUUCUUAACCCAAAUUUAACAACUUCUCUGUCACACCCCGAAAUUUUUGGAUAAAUAAAGAUUUCAAAUUCAAGGCAUGAUAACUAAAAGAAAAACAAACUUUACAACACUUUAGUUUUACAACUUGUGAAAGAAUAAUUUGAAACAGGUAAACCUCCCUCAAUACUCACAAAAAUCUAGAAGUAAACCAAAAGGAACAAAACCUAUCUGCCGCAGCCUCAACUCUGCUAAACCUGACCUGCAAAAACAACCUCUACACCAUGGAUUGGUGCACCGGGUUGUAAACAACAAACCCGAUAAGCUUUAAAAGCUCGUAUGAGUAAAUCUACAACAACAGACUCAACCCAUAAGAUAAAAACAAGAGUUCAUGCAUUAAAAAAAAUAAAUUCAAGAGAACACUUACAAGCAAGAGAAAUCAAGAAGAAAUUAAGAAAACACAACAAUUCAAAAUCACUCAAAAUCAUAAAUGAAAUCCUGCAAAAAGGGGUAGUUCAGGAUUCCAAAAAAAUCACACAAUUAAAAUUAAAGAAUCUCCUGCGGAUAAGCAUAGUUCAGGAGAUACUCAAAACAAAGAAUUUAAAUAACAUCACAUAAGAAUAUCACCCAAUCAUUUCUCUACUCUUACUUAUGGGUUCGUCAACGCAUAGUUAUCCCCCAUAAGUAACUAGACAAAACACGUACUCAUGGGUUCGUCAACACAUAGUCAUCCCCCAUGAAGUAUCGACAGACUAGAGCUCUAUACUGACCGUAACCAAUCACCCGGCCAAGGCUUGGUUCCCGGUCCACCACGAAGGCUCCUAAUCUAAUGCACACCAUCACCACUAAGGCACACACAUUCACAACUAAUGCACACAAUCACCACAAAGGCACCAUUCCGCAACAAAUGCACUCACUCACCACUAAGGCACACACAUUCACAACUAAUGCAUACAAUCAUCACAAAGGCACCAUUUCGCAACAAAUACUCUCACUCACCACUAAGACACACGUUUUAUUACUCUCACGUCAUAACACUUAUCAAAUCAUAAAAUAGUAAUAUCAUCAUAACCGUAACCAAUCACCCGAUUAAAGGCUUGGAAUCCGGUUUGACUAAUUAAACAACAAUUCUACAUCACGCUAUCACAUUAUCAUAACGUGUCUUUCACACAUAAACACGUGGAUAUAAAUAUUUAAAACAAGAAUAAUUCUACCAACUCUAAUUAUUACUCAUGAUCGGAAGUCCUUUUGAAAGAUUAUACUAAUAACAGAAAACUUGUUUUCACUUACCAUGAGCCGUUGACGAUCAAGCUCAUUUAUAUUUAAAAACAAAAUCAUUUUCUUUCAAGGACAACUUCACAAUUAGCAACAAUUAUCAUCAUCAUCAAAAUCACCAUCACAUUUAUCAUCAUAAUAAUCACAUAAUAAUUAUCAUCAUAUCAUCAACAUUUCCAUCAACAUCAUCCUUAAUCUCAUCAUCAUAACAAUUAUCAUCAUCAAAAUCAACAUCACAAUCAUCAUCAAAUCAUGGUACAAAAUCAACAUCACAAUCAUCAUCAAAAUAAAUAGGUCACAAAGUAGACCUUAGUGAGAUUUUACUCACCUUAACUCCCGCUGCGUCUUCAUAAACACAAACGCAACCGUCUAGCUCAAAGGCAAACUCCACAAGUCACCCUAAUUAAUACAAAUAUUAACCUUAGUAACCAAACAAACUAAGAGUAACAUUUGCCCUCUUAACCCAAAACUAAAAUCCGAAGGUUUGCCCAAAGGAGGGCAACUCUCCUUCAAGACCUCCCAAGGUUCUCGAUCACCCAAAACUAAACCUCCUACAACUGCCAAAACGGCUCCUACUUUUGAAAACACAAAAUCAUCACACCUCAUUGAAAACAACUCCAACAUUAAGCAUCACAAGAUCUCAACCUAGUCUUAUAAUAUAUCAACGUGCUCACAACAACAAGAACUAGCUAACCCUUGCAACUAAACCUACACAUCCUGCCAGAUGCGCCGCCACGCGCCACCACAUGCGGCGGCGAGUGGGCCCCAUGCGCCACCACAAAACUUCCGAAUUAGGGCAAACUCCCAACACAAAACUUGUACAAUACUACAAGGGGGACACUUUUCAUACCUGAAGGUCCAACCAGUUCGGCCGGAAUCGGCCGGAAAUCACCGAAACUCGUCGAAAAAUUUUGGAAUCCACCACUGCCACUCUCUGCCGUGAGUCGCGCUCCAAGGCCACCAGAAGUCGAACCAGGAUUCCAAGGGCCUUCUAUCCCGACCGGUCUCCCGCCUUGUCGCCGCCGUCGGAUGUCUGAAACCCGACCGGGUCUCUAACCCGAACUUCCGAGCUUUGGGUCACUACCUCGGGACCGAAACGGCGCACAUCACCACCACAGGUCAGCUCGGACAGAGGAGAGGAAGAGAACCCGACCGGUGCCGGCGUCUAGGUCGGUCGGAGGUGGCCGGAAAAGCCGGGUCAGGUCACCGGGUCCGAGUCGGGUCGGCUGGAGGACUUGGGUUCUCUCGGGGUCGGGGAGAGAGAAGGAGAGGGAGGAAAAUCUGGUUUCUGAAAAACUGAGGACCCAAACUGAAAAUUUCCUAUUUAACCUAAAUAUUCCCCAAAAGCCACAACUUUCGCUGACCAUAACUUUCUCAUACGAAGUCCGUUUUACGCGUGCCAUGUGUCUAUGAACUCGUAUCGUCGUGCUCUACAACUUUCGUGAAGGAAGUUUCUCGAGAAACCCAACAGAUUUGAAAGUCAACUUUUGACCCUUCAGAACCAUAAGACCGCUUCGGGACAAUUAUGCGUCCAAACGCUUCCGCUCUUCCUUCGUAUCUCAAAACACACUAACUUCUAACUCGAAAAUUCUCAAUUAAUAUUAGAAACUAAUAUCAAAUUUCUGGGGUAUUACAUUCUCCAAGGCUAAUACCAACACAUCCUAGGAGGCAUAACAAUGCUCCAAAACACUAAAAAUGGCCACUGAAACGGCGCAGCCGCGGUGGCUCAAGAUGGCCAAAUCCUUAACUUUUAAAAUCUCCAAAACUAUAUGCAAUACUAUACUCAAAAGAUAGCCCAUGAGGUAAGGAACAACUUUAUACCUCGAUAUUUCUCCAAAUUCUUGAUGAUUUGGCUGGAAUUCACAGAUUUAGCCUAAUGUUGCACACAAGUAAAAAUAAAUUAAGAGCCUAGUGUAUAUAGAAUACCCAUGAAAAGAGGAAGAGAUUGAUACCAGUUUUAUGGCCGGAGGUGGCCGGAAUUAGCGCCGGCGACGUGAUGUUUGGGUGGUGGUGACUUGGCCCAUUUUCUCUCUCUCUCCCCUCUGGUCUCUCAAACUCAACGUGAAAGAAAUGAAAGUGGGGUGGGGGGUUUAACUAUAGGUGAUGGGAUGAAGUGAUCAAACUGCCAUCCAAACAAAAAUACUCAUAUCUUUGUUGUAACUCUAUUUCAUAAACCGUUUGCGCUUACAUUCUCGUAUCAUCGUGCUCAACUUUCCUAUACUCAUAAGAGCAUUUUUAGCUAUUUUGUAGUUUGAUUUAUAUUAUUAAUUAAAUAAAAAAUUAAUUUAAAUAUAUUUUAAUAUUAUAUAAAAUGACUCAAAAGGAAUACAUUGAAUUAACAUAAAUUAUAAAGAGUUUCAUCUCGCUAGCUAUAUUUAGAGAGCGAGAUAGUUACAAGUAAAAACAGCUAGUCACUUACUAGUCUGUUAGAGCUGGUAAAAUUGAUAAAAAACUAAACUCGUUAUCUAAAAUAGC
rnacentral:lncRNA from 1 species